AGUCGAAACCGGGCUUCGGCCCGGUCUGCCGGGAUGAUUGGCCACCCGGUACUGAUGAGACAGGCCAGA
rnacentral:hammerhead_ribozyme from 1 species